rnacentral:tRNA from 1 species
UUCCUGGUGGUCCAGUGGUUAGGACUCUGUACUUUCACUGCAGAAGGACAAGGGUUCAAUCCCUGGUCAGGGAA